CAUGCAAGUCGAGCGGUAACAGACAUUUUGAUUCAGCUUGCUGAAUCUCGUGCUGACGAGCGGCGAACGGGUGAGUAACGCGUAGGAAUCUACCCAGUAGCGGGGGAUAGCCCGAGGAAACUCGGAUUAAUACCGCAUACGCCCUUAGGGGGAAAGGGGGCAUCUUUGAUGCUCUCACUAUUGGAUGAGCCUGCGUAAGAUUAGCUUGUUGGUAGGGUAAAGGCCUACCAAGGCUACGAUCUUUAGCUGGUCUGAGAGGACGAUCAGCCACAUUGGGACUGAGACACGGCCCAGACGUCUACGGACGGCAGCAGUUAAGAAUAUUGGACAAUGGGGGAAACCCUGAUCCAGCCAUACCGCGUGUGUGAAGAAGGCCUUAGGGUUGUAAAGCACUUUAAGCAACGAAGAAGAAAAAUAAGUUAAUACCUUAUUUUUUUGACAUUAAUUGCAGAAUAAGUACCGGCUAACUCCGUGCCAGCAGCCGCGGUAAUACGGAGGGUACAAGCGUUAAUCGGAAUUACUGGGCGUAAAGCGCGCGUAGGCGGUUAAGUAAGUUGGAUGUGAAAGCCCCGGGCUCAACCUGGGAACUGCAUUCAAAACUACUUAGCUAGAGUGCGAGAGAGGAGAGUAGAAUUUCUGGUGUAGCGGUGAAAUGCGUAGAUAUCAGAAGGAAUACCAAUGGCGAAGGCAGCUCUCUGGCUCGUCACUGACGCUAAGGUGCGAAAGCGUGGGUAGCAAACAGGAUUAGAUACCCUGGUAGUCCACGCCGUAAACGAUGAGAACUAGCCGUUGGAGGGAAUUAACUCUUCGGUGGCGCAGCUAACGCAUUAAGUUCUCCGCCUGGG
rnacentral:rRNA from 1 species